CCUACGGGACGCAGCAGUGGGGAAUAUUGCACAAUGGGGGAAACCCUGAUGCAGCAACGCCGCGUGAAGGAAGACGGUUUUCGGAUUGUAAACUUCUGUUCUUAGUGAAGAAAAAGCAUCGGCUAACUCCGUGCCAGCAGCCGCGGUAAUACGGAGGAUGCGAGCGUUAUCCGGAUUUAUUGGGUUUAAAGGGUGCGUAGGCGGGCUGUUAAGUCAGCGGUAAAAGCCCGGGGCUCAACCCCGGCGAGCCGUUGAAACUGGCUGUCUUGAGAUGUCGAGAGGUAUGCGGAAUGCGCAGUGGAGCG
rnacentral:rRNA from 1 species